UUGCCCUAGUAACGGCGAGUGAAGCGGCAACAGCUCAAAUUUGAAAUCUGGCUCUUUUAGAGUCCGAGUUGUAAUUUGCAGAGGGCGCUUUGGCGUUGGCAGCGGUCCAAGUUCUUUGGAACAGGACGUCACAGAGGGUGAGAAUCCCGUACGUGGUCGCUAGCCUUCGCCGUGUAAAGCCCCUUCGACGAGUCGAGUUGUUUGGGAAUGCAGCUCUAAAUGGGAGGUAAAUUUCUUCUAAAGCUAAAUACUGGCCAGAGACCGAUAGCGCACAAGUAGAGUGAUCGAAAGAUGAAAAGCACUUUGGAAAGAGAGUCAAAUAGCACGUGAAAUUGUUGAAAGGGAAGCGCUUGCAGCCAGACUUGCCUGUAGUUGCUUAUCCGGACUUUUGUCCGGUGCACUCUUCUGCGGGCAGGCCAGCAUCAGUCUAGGCGGUUGGAUAAAGGUCUCUGUCAUGUACCUCUCUUCGGGGAGGCCUUAUAGGGGAGACGACAUGCAACCAGCCUGGACUGAGGUCCGCGCAUCUGCUAGGAUGCUGGCGUAAUGGCUGUAAGCGGCCCGUCUUGAAACACGGACCAAGGAGUCUAACAUCUAUGCGAGUGUUUGGGUGUCAAGCCCAGACGCGUAAUGAAAGUGAACGGAGGUGGGAACCCUUUGGGUGCACCAUCGACCGAUCCUGAUGUCUUCGGAUGGAUUUGAGUAAGAGCAUGGCUGUUGGGACCCGAAAGAUGGUGAACUAUGCUUGAAUAGGGUGAAGCCAGAGGAAACUCUGGUGGAGGCUCGCAGCGGUUCUGACGUGCAAAUCGAUCGUCAAAUUUGGGCAUA
rnacentral:rRNA from 1 species